UUGUGCUGCUGUAUAACAGAACUGUGGGGACACAGAGGGAGAGUGCAACCCGGGAGUGGAAAGACCGGGGCAAGCGAGGUAGGAGUCACGUAGGCAAAUCCGCGUGACAAUCCGAAGGCGUGACGCAUAGCGAAAUCAAGUAGCGAAUUGCAUGAGCCAGCUGUCGAGAAAAGCCGCUAUUGUUUAUACAGUACCCGUACCGUAAACCGACACAGGUGGAUGAGGAGAGAAUCCUAAGGCCGACGGAAGAAGCAUUGUUAAGGAACUCGGCAAAAUGACCCCGUAACUUCGGGAGAAGGGGUGCCCUGUGAAAGCAGGGCCGCAGUGAAAUGGCUCAAGCAACUGUUUAGCAAAAACACAGGUCUAUGCAAAACCGAAAGGUGAAGUAUAUGGGCUGACGCCUGCCCGGUGCUGGAAGGUUAAGAGGAGAGGUUACGCAAGCGAAGCUUUGAAUUUAAGCCCCAGUAAACGGCGGCCGUAACAACAACGGUCCUAAGGUAGCGAAAUUCCUUGUCGGGUAAGUUCCGACCCGCACGAAAGGCGUAAUGAUUUGAGCACUGUCUCGACAAUGCAUCCGGUGAAAUUGAAGUACCAGUGAAGAUGCUGGUUACCCGCGCCAGGACGGAAAGACCCCAUGGAGCUUUACUCCAGCUUGGUACUGGGAUUCGGUAUUGCAUGUACAGGAUAGGUGGGAGACUAUGAAACGGUGACGCCAGUUACCGCGGAGUCAAUGUUGGGAUACCACCCUUGCAGUAUUGGAUUUCUAACAUGUGCCCGUGAACCGGGCAGUGGACAAUGCCAGGCGGGGAGUUUGACUGGGGCGGUCGCCUCCGAAAGGGUAUCGGAGGCGCCCAAAGGUUCCCUCAGAAUGGUUGGAAACCAUUCGCAGAGUGCAAAGGCAGAAGGGAGCUUGACUGUGACACCGACGGGUGGAGCAGGUACGAAAGUAGGGCUUAGUGAUCCGGUGGCAUUAAGUGGGAAUGCCAUCGCUCAACGGAUAAAAGCUACCCUGGGAUAACAGGCUUAUCACUCCCAAGAGUUCACAUCGACGGAGUGGUUUGGCACCUCGAUGUCGGCUCAUCGCAUCCUGGGGCUGUAGAAGGUCCCAAGGGUUGGGCUGUUCGCCCAUUAAAGCGGUACGCGAGCUGGGUUCAGAACGUCGUGAGACAGUUCGGUCCCUAUCCGGCGUGGGCGUAGGAUAUUUGAGAGGAGCUGUCCUUAGUACGAGAGGACCGGGAUGGACUGACCUCUGGUGUAUCGGUUGUUCUACCAAGAGCAUGGCCGAGUAGCCAAGUCGGGAAGGGAUAAACGCUGAAGGCAUCUAAGCGUGAAGCCCCCCUCAAGAUGAGAUAUCCCAUAACGCAAGUUAGUAAGACCCCUUGAAGACGACGAGGUAGAUAGGGCAGAGGUGGAAGUGCAGUAAUGCAUGGAGCUGACUGUUACUAAUAGGUCGAGGGCUUAAUC
rnacentral:rRNA from 1 species